UUCAAUAUACUGCACAGAAGUAAUGCUUCCUGCACAGCAGACGCUACUGAGGAUUUUCCAAGCAGUUUUCCAAUCUCUAUUUAGCAUAAACUGCACAGGUGUUAGAUUCAUGCUUGUGAUAUGUAACCUACGAUGAAGGAGAGCACCCCUCUGGUUUGAAAGGACAGGGGAGGUGAUAGCACAAGCCAUGUCAGAGGGAGAUGAUUAGCCAGAGGAACUGCAAGCACCUGGAGCCAUUUGUCUCUUCUGGAGGAGCCAGUGGCCAAGAGGAGUCAACACUCAAGUCGUCCUAGGAAAGAAAGAAAACAGGGAUGAAGGACUCCAGCUCUGAUCACUACUGAUGCUUCCAAAUCUUCUUGUCACUGUGCUAUACUCCAAAGGUCACAUCUUCACGAGCAUGACGCUGCCAGCUCAGACAGAUGUGCAGGCUUCAGGAGAGGUCAUUUGAAUGCUUAUGGAUAUGGGCACCCUAUAGACCAAAAUGUGUGAAAAAUGCUGCACGGGAAGCAGCAGCACAGGUUUACCCACACCAUCCUCACGACAUCGGCCACCUGAUUUGGUCAGAAAGAAAAACAAGGGAGAUGCUGUUCCUCAUCCUG